rnacentral:rRNA from 1 species
GCACCGGCUAACUCCGUGCCAGCAGCCGCGGUAAUACGGAGGGUGCGAGCGUUAAUCGGAAUUACUGGGCGUAAAGCGCAUGCAGGCGGCCUGUUAAGUCAGAUGUGAAAGACCCGGGGCUUAACCUCGGAAUUGCAUUUGAAACUGGCAGGCUAGAGUCUUGUAGAGGGGGGUAGGAAGUUUCAGGUGUAGCGGUGAAAUGCGUAGAGAUCUGAAGGAAUACCAGUGGCGAAGGCGGCCCCCUCGGACAAAGACUGACGCUCAGAUGCGAAAGCCGUGGGGACGCAAACAGGACUUAGACUACCCCUGGUAG